CAGACGACAGACAGACAGACAGACAGACACAGGACAGAGUCAACACCGUGUCUCUAAAAUAGUAGCUGCUUAAAAAAGUAACAAAAUGAUGAUCGUCUCCAAUAGAGGAUAUAAACAGAGUGGAGGUAACAGAACUGACGGCUCCAAUAUGGAUAUAAACAGAGUGGAGGUAACAGAACUGACCGUCUCCAAUAUGGAUAUAAACAGAGUGGAGGUAACAGAACUGACCGUCUCCAAUAUGGAUAUAAACAGAGUGGAGGUAACAGAGAACUCAAAGCCACUCAGUGAAAGCAGAAAUCAACAGGAAAUGGAGAGGGAAUGAAACAACCACAUACUCAUCCUUUCUCUCCUUUCUCUCAUCCUUUCUCUCCUUGUCCUCCUCUUCCUCUCUCUCCUCCCCCGUUCCACCCCCAGCCCCUGUCUCCUCCUCCCAGGCUAGUCUCCUCUGAACAGGUAGGUUAAGGGCUCCAGGGUUAGGGUGACCAGGGGGGUCUGCUGUGUCCCCAGCCCCCCGGGUGGAGCUCCUUCUACUGGACACGGGGGUGAGGGGAGGGGGUCCGACUACGGAGCUGGAGCUACUGUCAACCCUACAGACACACAGGGAGAGGAGGAGGGUCACACACAGAACAUGACCUUAAUAGGUCAGAUGUAUUAAGACCCCAGUAAAGGACUCUCAGCAUCAGUUUCCCCCAGUCCAUAUAGCUGGGUCAACCCCCCCAU
rnacentral:lncRNA from 1 species